rnacentral:rRNA from 1 species
AUUGAACGCUGGCGGCAUGCCUUACACAUGCAAGUCGAACGGUAACAGGUCUUCGGAUGCUGACGAGUGGCGAACGGGUGAGUAACACAUCGGAACGUGCCUAGUAGUGGGGGAUAACUACUCGAAAGAGUGGCUAAUACCGCAUGAGAUCUACGGAUGAAAGCAGGGGAUCGCAAGACCUUGUGCUACUAGAGCGGCCGAUGGCAGAUUAGGUAGUUGGUGGGAUAAAAGCUUACCAAGCCGACGAUCUGUAGCUGGUCUGAGAGGACGAUCAGCCACACUGGGACUGAGACACGGCCCAGACUCCUACGGGAGGCAGCAGUGGGGAAUUUUGGACAAUGGGCGCAAGCCUGAUCCAGCAAUGCCGCGUGCAGGAUGAAGGCCUUCGGGUUGUAAACUGCUUUUGUACGGAACGAAAAGCCCUGGGUUAAUACCCUGGGGUCGUGACGGUACCGUAAGAAUAAGCACCGGCUAACUACGUGCCAGCAGCCGCCGUAA